rnacentral:rRNA from 1 species
AGAGUUUGAUCAUGGCUCAGGACGAACGCUGGCGGCGUGCUUAACACAUGCAAGUCGAACGAUGAACCACUUCGGUGGGGAUUAGUGGCGAACGGGUGAGUAACACGUGGGCAAUCUGCCCUGCACUCUGGGACAAGCCCUGGAAACGGGGUCUAAUACCGGAUACUGAGCCACUUGGGCAUCCAAGUGGUUCGAAAGCUCCGGCGGUGCAGGAUGAGCCCGCGGCCUAUCAGCUUGUUGGUGAGGUAAUGGCUCACCAAGGCGACGACGGGUAGCCGGCCUGAGAGGGCGACCGGCCACACUGGGACUGAGACACGGCCCAGACUCCUACGGGAGGCAGCAGUGGGGAAUAUUGCACAAUGGGCGAAAGCCUGAUGCAGCGACGCCGCGUGAGGGAUGACGGCCUUCGGGUUGUAAACCUCUUUCAGCAGGGAAGAAGCGAAAGUGACGGUACCUGCAGAAGAAGCGCCGGCUAACUACGUGCCAGCAGCCGCGGUAAUACGUAGGGCGCAAGCGUUGUCCGGAAUUAUUGGGCGUAAAGAGCUCGUAGGCGGCUUGUCACGUCGGUUGUGAAAGCCCGGGGCUUAACCCCGGGUCUGCAGUCGAUACGGGCAGGCUAGAGUUCGGUAGGGGAGAUCGGAAUUCCUGGUGUAGCGGUGAAAUGCGCAGAUAUCAGGAGGAACACCGGUGGCGAAGGCGGAUCUCUGGGCCGAUACUGACGCUGAGGAGCGAAAGCGUGGGGAGCGAACAGGAUUAGAUACCCUGGUAGUCCACGCCGUAAACGGUGGGCACUAGGUGUGGGCAACAUUCCACGUUGUCCGUGCCGCAGCUAACGCAUUAAGUGCCCCGCCUGGGGAGUACGGCCGCAAGGCUAAAACUCAAAGGAAUUGACGG